rnacentral:rRNA from 1 species
AAUUCCAUCUNAAGCUNAAUAUUGGCGAGAGACCGAUAGCGAACAAGUACAGUWAUGGAAAGAUGAAAAGAACUUUGAAAAGAGAGUGAAAAAGUACGUGAAAUUGUUGAAAGGGAAGGGCAUUUGAUCAGACAUGGUGUUUUGUGCCCUCUGCUCCUUGUGGGUAGGGGAAUCUCGCAUUUCACUGGGCCAGCAUCAGUUUUGGUGGCAGGAUAAAUCCAUAGGAAUGUAGCUUGCCUCGGUAAGUAUUAUAGCCUGUGGGAAUACUGCNAGCUGGGACUGAGGACUGCGACGUAAGUCAAGGAUGCUGGCAUAAUGG